UACCGAGUGAGGGCCCUCUGGGUCCAACCUCCCACCCAUGUUUAUUGUACCUUGUUGCUUCGGCGGGCCCGCCUCACGGCCGCCGGGGGGCUUCUGCCCUCUGGCCCGCGCCCGCCGAAGACACCAUUGAACACUGUCUGAAGAUUGCAGUCUGAGCAAUUAGCUAAAUAAGUUAAAACUUUCAACAACGGAUCUCUUGGUUCCGGCAUCGAUGAAGAACGCAGCGAAAUGCGAUACGUAAUGUGAAUUGCAGAAUUCAGUGAAUCAUCGAGUCUUUGAACGCACAUUGCGCCCCUUGGUAUUCCGGGGGGCAUGCCUGUCCGAGCGUCAUUGCUGCCCUCAAGCACGGCUUGUGUGUUGGGCCCCGUCCUCCUUCCCGGGGGACGGGCCCGAAAGGCAGCGGCGGCACCGCGUCCGGUCCUCGAGCGUAUGGGGCUUUGUCACCCGCUCUUGUAGGCCCGGCCGGCGCUUGCCGACAACAAUCAAUCUUUUUUCAGGUUGACCUCGGAUCAGGUAGGGAUACCCGCUGAACUUAAGCAUA
rnacentral:rRNA from 1 species